ncrna:unclassified sequences DTF3800-VIII RNA
ACUCCCCUGUCUGACCGAAGUCUGACGUUAUGCGUCAGAUACUUAUGUAGGUCAGGCGGGGUUUU